UGACGUCACGACCCGCUGGCUCCUCCAUUCACAUCUUCCCCUCCCCCGUGCCGUGAGGUCUCCCAUCACAUCUCUUCCUCCUCCUCUCCGAUCUCCCCCGCGGCCGCCCAAAGGAGCCCCAACCCUAGACCCGCCUGCGCGCCCAUUGCCUCCGGUCGCCGCUCAGCUUCUCCGUCACUCCCGCAAGUGAAGGAACCUUAUGAGCUGGUUGGCUGGGGCUCUACUCCAAUUCGGGUGCUACUAAGAUGGGUCAGGACCUGAUCAGCAACAAGUUUGGGACAAGACUAACCAUAGAUGAAGUAGCAGGCGCCUACCACUUCUCGCUUCUGCUCUCCCCUGUUGUUUCCUUCUGGGAUUGCAUCUUCCGCAAGAUAAGAUACUCACUGAGACCUGAGUGGGUGUAGCAUCUUGCGUUCACCUCCUUUUUUUGCAGUAGCUGGUUUGCAAAUAAAUAGACAGGUGCGGGUCUCUUAGGAAACCACCUAGCAAGGAGUCCAAAACAAUGAACUUUGAAGAUUUUGUCUUUCCCUAAUUUUAUAUAGACAGUAGAGGAGUUUAGCUGAGAUAGUAAAUAGCGGGCACAGUUGUUAUGGACAAGACUAUCAUGAGCAAUCAGGCAGGCAAAGUCUUGAAGAAAGGAAAAAAGAAACAGGCCAAGGAUGAGCUGGAUCGCCAGAAGCAGGCUGAGAAGAAGAGGCGCCGGCUAGAGAAAGCGCUGGCAAACUCGGCUGCCAUUAUUUCAGAGCUGGAAAAGAAGAAGCAGAAGAAGAAAGAAGAACAGCAAAGGCUGGAUGAGGAAGGUGCUGCGAUAGCUGAAGCAGUCGCUCUUCAUGUUCUCAUAGGUGAAGACUCCGAUGAACCCUGCCACUUGAUGCUAAACAAGCAUAAAAGGUGCAGCCAUUGGGAUCCCUCGGCUGGCUUUGAAUUCACCGUGGAUGCACAAGCCGCUGAUAUUUAUUCUUCAGAUGGACUGAUUUGCACCAGCCAUGCAUAUGCUCCCAAAGGGAGGUGGGCUGAUUGGGGGAUUGGCCAGCCACUGCCAUCUUGGGGAGAAGUGAGGGACCUCCAAGUCCAAGGCCCCUACUAUCAAGGAACAUUCCAUCAGUCAGUCAACUGCCCUGGUUUCAUAGCAGCCCAAGCAGUGUCGUCGUUGCAGAUCAGAGAAGACUCGUCAGAAAUCACAUCUCCAAGCCAAGGAGCGGCAGCUGCAACUGUGGUUAACAGGAUGCUUGGUGGCGCCAACAGGCUCAACCUUUACAGAGAGAUAUAAAAAUACACUUUGUCAUAGCAUUGUAUAUAGUCACCAAAAAAUGUGUUGACUACGUUGCCUGCGAUAUAGUCUUCUAGUUUCAAAACAAAUGGAUAGAACAUCUUGUUUGCUGUUUUGUGAGUGUACUAAACUUGGUAUUUUGUAUCAGUUAACUUGGUAUUGUAAUGAACAUAUAUGGUUUUGAUUUCCGUUGCUUUUCUUGCCAAGUGUCGUGAUUGGGAUGCUUCUGUAUUCUUGGCUAUGGUGCUGUUGACACCGUUUUUUGACACGUGUCAAGUAUGGUGAUUUUUGUGAAGGGAAGGUGGCCGAUUUGGAAGAAACCAAAAGAUGCACAGGGUUGGAAUCGGCCGAUGGAGUCCGUCCGAUAGGCCAGAGGAAAAUAUGCUUUGAAGAUAGCUCUGGUAUCCGGCCGAUGGAGAAUUGCCAAUGAAGUCAAGAAAAGAGGUCAAAUUGACUGGCACGCUUGGUUGACUUUCCGUGACUCGGUGAACACUUGCCCUCGGAUUCCAGUGUGUUGAUUUUUGCGUCAACAGGUGCUACUCUCUCUGAUUGCUUAUGUUUGAGUAUGUUGUAGGAGCAGGCAUAUUUAGGUUGUGAGACGAUGCAGAUGUUAAGCUUGUUUUGUCCUCGUAUAUAGUACCCCGUCUGGCUAUGGUGCUAAUUGCUUAUGUUUGAGUAUGUUGUAGGAGCAGGCAUAUCUAGGUUGUGAGACGAUGCUGAUGUUAAGCUUAUUUUAUCCUUGUAUAUAGUACCCCGUCUGUUUUAUCACAAAGAUUUGCCUGUGGAGUAUGGGCCUGAUAGUAACUAUGGCCUUAUUUAGAUCACUUUGCAUUUUGGAUUUUUGGAAGAGAAUAUUCAACAUUUGAA